rnacentral:lncRNA from 1 species
GUCUGGAAACGGCAGCUUCUGAGAGUUUACAAUGUUUCACCAACUGUCGUCCAAAUAAGUCGUCACCCCUGUCAGAGUAGUUGCAGCUCUGCCGUUACCCACUGCUGUCACUGUGGCCGUUUUAUUCGCGAGGGUUACAGUUCUGUUUAGCAUGCAUCUAAUGACUUAAGACUCCACGCAAGUAAAACGGAGUUUCCUCCCAUUAAGUAUUGGCUUUGCUUUAACAGUGCUUUGAGAGGCUCUCUGUGGCCAACAUAUCUUCUCAUAUCUUUGUCCUCGUUUCCCAAUCUCCGCGUGGUGAAAUCAUCUAUCAAGACUUGGCUUAAAGGACCUCUCUUCUGCAAAUAAUGCCAUCUUCCGCUAGGUGCUCACUGCACACAGACUCGCCGCCCACCACUUCUGUCCACCUUCUGAACUCCGAUAGUUAUUUACCCAGAGACUGUUUCUCAUCUUUAAGUGUCGUGAAGACUUUAAGAUCUGUUUUAUCUCUCUAUACCCCAAAAUGGCCUAGCACAGUAACUAGGACAUUGUAGGUGCUCAAUAAAUGUUUGUCGAAUAUCAAUGACAGCAGGAGGCAGUAAAUGGUCCCUCUUUGUAGGGCCUACAGCUGUGCCUGAGUAGGAUGUACAGAAGUCCUGCAUACGUGUGAAGUGUCUCCAGGAAGCUGCACUGGAGGGGACAGGAAAUGUGGGUAAUCGUAUGGUGCAAGUGGUAGCAAAAAAGACAACAUAAGGAAAAUGUUAUUUAGGUUUUGCCCAGUCUUGCUGUUUAAAGCCCUGUGUUAGAUGCUUUUCAUGCGCUAUUUUACUGAAUGUAAACAACCACCUUAUUAAAUAUACUCACUUUUUUAAAACGAAGAAACACGUACUGGCCGGUCACAGUGGCUCACGCCUGUAAUCUCAGCACUUUGCGGGGCCGAGGCGGGUGGAUCACGAGGUCAGGAGUACAAGACCAGCCUGGCCAAGAUGGUGAAACCCCGUCUCUACUAAAAAUACAAAAAUUAGCCGGGCGUGGUGGCGGGUGCCUGUAAUCCCAGCUACUCGGGAGGCGGAGGCAGGAGUAUCGCUUGAACCUGCGAGGCGGAGGUUGCAGUGAGCCGGGAUCGCACCACUGCACUCCAGCCUGGGCAACAGAGUGAGACUCCAUCUCAAAAAAAUAAAAAAAAAGAAAGAAAGAAAGAAAAAGAAACAAGUACUGAAAAAGCUAAGUAAUUUGCCCAAUUUUAUACCAUCAAUAAAAGGGAGCUGUAAGCUUUGG